rnacentral:rRNA from 1 species
CUACGGGUGGCUGCAGUAACGAAUAUUGGGCAAUGGGCGCAAGCCUGACCCAGCAAUGCCGCGUGCGGGAGGAAGUCCCUCGGGAUGUAAACCGCUUUUAGGGGUAGACAAGUAACUCGGGUAAACAAUCCGGGAAGUUGAGUUGCCCCAGAAAAAGCCUCGGCUAACUCUGUGCCAGCAGCCGCGGUAAUACAGAGGAGGCAAGCGUUGUUCGGAAUCAUUGGGCUUAAAGGGCGUGUAGGCGGCGGCGCAAGUGUCGAGUGAAAUCCCACUGCUCAACGGUGGAACCGCUCGGCAAACUGCGUCGCUUGAGGUCGGUAGAGGUGCUCGGAACUCUAGGUGGAGCGGUGAAAUGCGUAGAUAUCUAGAGGAACGCCUGAGGCGAAGCGGGGCACUGGGCCGAAUCUGACGCUGAGACGCGGAAGCGUGGGGAUCAAACAGGAUUAGAUACCCGCGUAGUC